AUUGAACGCUGGAGGCAGGCCUAACACAUGCAAGUCGAACGAGUGGCGGACGGGUGAGGAAUGUAUGGGAAAAUGCCAGGUGGAGGGGGAUAACUAAUGGAAACGGUAGCUAAUACCGCAUACCAUGGGAUGUUCACAGAUGGGAUUAGCUAGGAGGUGGGGGAACGGCUCACCGAGGCGACGAUCCCUAGCUGGGCUGAGAGGAUGACAAGCCACACGGGAACGGAGACACGGUCCAGACUCCGACGGGAGGCAGCAGUGGGGAAUAUUGCACAAUGGGCGCAAGCCUGAUGCAGCCAUGCCGCGUGUAUGAAGAAGGCCUUCGGGUUGUAAAGUACUUUCAGCGAGGAGGCGUUACUCGCAGAAGAAGCACCGGCUAACUCCGUGCCAGCAGCCGCGGUAAUAC
rnacentral:rRNA from 1 species